UGGGCAAUGACCCUGCAAUGUGUGCAUAAUCCCAAAGGCCAACCACUGUGGAUGGGAACUAUCCCAGAUGUGUCAGGAGUACCACAGGCGUGCUCACUUCUCUAUUCAUUGGAGCUGUAUACAGUGGAAAGAAAACCCAAACCAAGACACUUUGCUGCUUCAGUUCUUUUAUUACAUGUCACAGUCCAAUAUGUCUCCAUUUAAAUUCAGACUUUUUGAUGAAUCAUCAGACCAGCUGCAGGCCCUUUGGGUCAGAAGUCUUGAUCUCACCAACUGUUCAUUUUCUUAAUGGACUUCCUUACUUCAGGCAUUUGUGUGUAGCUGGUCCAUUGUGGAGUUGUCAGAGGGGUGUGGAGCCCUCUGUUUUUGGGACAGUCAGUUCUGUCUCUGUAGCAUGUCCUGAAGCAGGGCUGUCUCCAUUCUCUUUGUGUGUGAAGUCUUGUGUUAAGCAGGGUGAAGUGAGAGAGGACUCCUAAAGAGAAAACCUCCUUUAGCAUUGGCUGAAACAUGUUCAUGAACUGACCAAGAUGUAAUUGGAUGGCAUGAAAAAGGCUAAAAUUUAUUUAAUUUCUUGCUAUCUGGUUUGUGGUACAUGGUGCCUUAAAUUGAGUUUAGAAGAAACUUUGCAGAUGGAAUUUUGUUCUGUUGCCCAGGCUGGAGUGUAGUGGUGUGAUCUCAGCUCACUGCAACCUUUGCCUCCUGGAUUCAAGUGAUUCUCCUGCCUCAGCCUCCCAAGUAGCUGGGAUCACAGGCACCUGCCACCAUGCCUGGCUAAUUUUUAUAUUUUUAGUAGAGAUGAGGUUUUACCAUAUUGGCCAGGCUGCUCUCAAACUUCAGACCUCAAACGAUCUGCCCACCUCGGCCUCACAAAGUGUUGGUAUGACAGAUGUGAGCCACUGUGCCCGGCCGAGGGUGUCAUAUUUAAUUCCAUUCCCUGUGGCCUCUUUUACAAUACCAAUCAGCAUGGAGCCCAUGGUUUUGCUGCACCUAGUCUUACUCAAACAAAGGCUCUGGACUUUCAUAGUUUACACUGACAUAUUCUAGUUUGCCUCUGAAAUGUGCUCUGAGGAUGCUGACUUCCAGAUAACCAUUCUUGGCUUCCAGAUAGUUAUUUUUGGGUGAAGGGAAUUUCAAGCCUUUUGAGUAUAGUAGCCAACCACUUAGCUUCAUUUUGGUUUGGUUACAAAAUUUAUUUUAGCUUAGUUUUCUUAGAUUAAGUGGGCAAAGACAGAGCAGAAGAUUUUGGGAGGCUGCAGUGGGUAGAUCACGAGGUCAGGAGUUUGAGACUGAUGUGGCCAACAUGGUGAAAUCCUGUCUUUACUAAAAAUACAAAAGUUGGCUGAGCAUGGUGGUGCGUACUUCUAAUCCCCACCACUUGGGAGGCUGAGGCAGGUGAAUUGCUUGAACCCAGGAGUCUCUUGAGAAGUUGGGACUACAGCACAUGCCACCAUAUUCAGCUAAUUGUUUUUUUAAUUUUUAGUGGAGACAAGGUUUCUCUAUGUCACCCAGGCUGGUUUCAAACUCCUGGAUGUAAGUGAUUCACCUGCCCUGGCCUUUCAAACUGCUGCAAUUACAGGUGUAAACCACCAUGCCUGUUUUUCUUCUCAUUUUUCUCUCUUCCUUUCCUUCUUUGGUAGAUGGAAAUGUGUCAGGUACCAGCUAUUCAUCCAAUGACUGCUCCUCAGUUCCAAAUUCACCCUUCAUUGCCUGCUCUGCAAACAUAGAGAGAUGAGGUUUCACUGUGUUUCCAAGGCUGGUCUUAAACUCUUGGCCUCAUGGGAUCCUCCUGUCUUAGUCUCCCAGUGGGCUGGGAUUAAGGAUAUGAGGCACCUCACCUGACCUGCGAUGAGUUUUCGACAAUGUCAUUCCUUUUGUACAGAAGCACCUAAGCUGAAGAGUCCCUUGAGAACAAGUACUAUCCUGUGGUUUCAUAAACUUUCUUCCAUUUAUGGUUCUUGCCAAGUUAAAUUUAAAUUACAUCUUAUGAAGAUGGAUAAACCCAAGUUUUCCAGAGCUGGAAUAUAGAAAAUGGAUGUACCUAUAAGUCCUACUCACCCAUAGCCAAGGCAUGGAGACCUCAACACACCUGGGCCCUAGACAUCACCUUUUAUUAUAAAGUUUCACUCUUGUUGCCUAGGCUGGAGUGCAACGGCACAAUCUCUGCUGACUGCAUCCUCCUUCUCUUGGAUUCAAGCCAUCCUCUCGUCUCAGUCUGCAGAAUAGCUGGAAUUACAG